AGUGAACGCUGGCGGUAGGCCUAACACAUGCAAGUCGAACGGCAGCACAGUAAGAGCUUGCUCUUACGGGUGGCGAGUGGCGGACGGGUGAGGAAUAAAUCGGAAUCUACUUUUUCGUGGGGGAUAACGUAGGGAAACUUACGCUAAUACCGCAUACGACCUACGGGUGAAAGCAGGGGAUCUUCGGACCUUGCGCGAUUGAAUGAGCCGAUGUCGGAUUAGCUAGUUGGCGGGGUAAAGGCCCACCAAGGCGACGAUCCGUAGCUGGUCUGAGAGGAUGAUCGGCCACACUGGAACUGAGACACGGUCCAGACUCCUACGGGAGGCAGCAGUGGGGAAUAUUGGACAAUGGGCGCAAGCCUGAUCCAGCCAUACCGCGUGGGUGAAGAAGGCCUUCGGGUUGUAAAGCCCUUUUGUUGGGAAAGAAAAGCAGCAGGUUAAUACCCCGCUGUUCUGACGGUACCCAAAGAAUAAGCACCGGCUAACUUCGUG
rnacentral:rRNA from 1 species